rnacentral:lncRNA from 1 species
GAAACUUGAGAAUCAGAAGUUUGUGUCCAUGUCCAUGGGGAGUGGAGAUGUACUAAAGCUGAAUCGCAUGGGACCUUCUUCAGCGCAGCAUCUCUGGUGGCCUUUGCAGGGAGGUGGAGUCUCCAGCCGCUCGCAUCUACCUGGGAGGUUGGAGUCCAUUAUGUCCUCCUGGGGAGGCGGUAAUGACUGUCAUGGAACAGGGAGACCUCAAUUUAAGCGAACAGCUGCUUUUCCUUGACAACAGAAGGGUAAGCGGGCUCGAGUUGGCCCUUAACGAACUGAUCCGUGGA